GAUGAACGCUGGCGGCGUGCCUAAUACAUGCAAGUCGAGCGAACAGACGAGGAGCUUGCUCCUCUGACGUUAGCGGCGGACGGGUGAGUAACACGUGGAUAACCUACCUAUAAGACUGGGAUAACUUCGGGAAACCGGAGCUAAUACCGGAUAAUAUAUUGAACCGCAUGGUUCAAUAGUGAAAGACGGUCUUGCUGUCACUUAUAGAUGGAUCCGCGCCGCAUUAGCUAGUUGGUAAGGUAACGGCUUACCAAGGCGACGAUGCGUAGCCGACCUGAGAGGGUGAUCGGCCACACUGGAACUGAGACACGGUCCAGACUCCUACGGGAGGCAGCAGUAGGGAAUCUUCCGCAAUGGGCGAAAGCCUGACGGAGCAACGCCGCGUGAGUGAUGAAGGUCUUCGGAUCGUAAAACUCUGUUAUCAGGGAAGAACAAAUGUGUAAGUAACUAUGCACGUCUUGACGGUACCUAAUCAGAAAGCCACGGCUAACUACGUG
rnacentral:rRNA from 1 species